rnacentral:misc_RNA from 1 species
GAUGAAGAACGUAGCGAAAUGCGAUAAGUAUUGUGAAUUGCAGAAUUCAGUGAAUCAUCGAAUCUUUGAACGCACAUUGCGCCCCUUGGUAUCCCGAGGGGCAUGCCUGUUCGAGCGUCAUUUCACCACUCAAGCCUGGCUUGGUGUUGGGCGACGUCCCCUUUGGGGACGCGCCUCGAAACGCUCGGCGGCGUGGCUCCGGCUUUAAGCGUAGCAGAAUCUUUCGCUUUGGAAGUCGGGGCCCCGUCUGCCGGAAGACCUACUCGCAAGGUUGACCUCGGAUCAGGCAGGGAUACCCGCUGAACUUAAGCAUAUCAAUAAGCGGAGGA